ACCAGCUGUUAAUGGUGUACUUCAGGAGUCCUAUCAGCCAUGCUCGGGUUGCUAUAGUCAACAUGACCGGCAAAUAGUUUGCCAUGACCAGCUAGUC
rnacentral:snoRNA from 2 species